CUGGCCAGGCCGCUCAGCUCCUCGGCGGCAGUUGCUGCUGCGGCGGUUCCCCUUGUCUCGCUUGGCCCCCUCCUCCUUUGCCGCCGCCGCCGCUUAGCCCUCCUCUCGCUUGCCACAUUGGGAUCCUCCCUUCUGCCAGCACGGGAGUCGCUGCCAGGAGAGAGGCCUCCGCACCUUCCUGCCAAAUAGUGAGCCGCGCCAAACACGCGGCCCCGCCUUCCUCCGUUCUGCGGCGCGCAGGCGUACUUCGCCUAUUGAACUGCGACAGGAGAACUGAAGCCGCGAGCUCUCGCGCUCCUCCCGCCCCUCCUUAGCUCGGAAGCCCCAGUACGCUUGCGCGGACUCAGCCUGGUACCUCGGCUCUCGAGGAUGGGGAGAACGUAACUUUAGUCCGCAUCCUUCGCAGGGUGAGAAGCCAACUCUGGAGCUGCGCAUGAGACGCUACUCUUGUGCCACAGAAUAAAAAGAAACUGGUUUACCGUCAUAUUCGCUUUUUCAGAUGUAUAGCUGCUUCUGAAACAUAGCUGAUGCAGCCAAGAAAAACCAAACCAAAUAUAAGGUAUAUGUCUGCAUCACAAGACAUGUUUUAUGUGCAUUGUGCCCCUCAUAUAAAUGAAAGCAUUUGCACCAAUAGUCUAAAGGAUCAUGGGCAUAUCACACAUUUUUCAACAUGUUUAGGAACUAAGGGGAAACAUAUGUGAAAGCUGAUCUGAUGACUACUGGUGUGUACGUGUGCCCUGUAAACCAGGAUUGCAGAAGCAUCAAGUCAGCUGAAUUGCAAGACCUCCUAGAGUUCCUGCAGGAGCUCCAGAGGAAUCCCUGCUGUUAUUUCUAAUCUCAGGUCCAAAAUUGCAGUAGGGAUGGCAAGCCUUGUUUCCUGCCAAGCUUCCGCACUUUUGCCCUGACAAGAGGUCCCUAGAACUGCCCACCUUUUUACCACUGCAGUCUGCUUGCUCACCUGCCUCUUGCUCUGAACCAUGCAACAGUGAUGGCCAAAAGGAGGAGCAGCAAAUGCUGCCACUUGCUUACUGAUUUUCCCACUGUCAAGGAAGAAAGUGCCAGCCCUGAAGAGGAGGAGAAGUGACAGCAUCUAUUGACAAGGGCAGUGCAUACCUGUUCUCCCUGGGUAUUUUCAUGAUCCGCUCAGAAGGUCCUCCAUGCUCAGAUACCAGCCUGGGAGUUCAGCAGUCAUCCAGGUGACCACAUCAUCAGCCAAUCAGAGGCAUUCUAGCAGAAGCAUUAAUACCAUGACUUUUCACUGGCCUAGGAGCCUGAUAUGGGAAAGGUGAAAUAUUUCUAGCUGAGCUCAGAAAAGGCCAACAGGUAUUUCAGAUAUGGAAGCUGAAGAUAAAGAUAACUGCUUGCUCAACUACUGUUCGCAUGUGUUCAACUUACGACACAAAUAAGUGGACAUGAAAAAUCCUAAGUAAACAGGACCUAGAAAAGAGAAACAGAUGUUAUCCUGUUUUGAAGGGAAGUGUGUCUCAGCAUUACUGACAAGAUAUGAAGUAAACAUAUUGCUCUCCAAAUCAUUGCUGGAAAUUUUGAAGAAAAAGUAAGAACUUUUUAUUAUGAACCGAAUCACAUAACUGGGCUAAUAAGGAAUCAGAUAAAUAUGAGAGCCAGAGCACACGGACUUGAAAAGCAAACAUCAGUUCUCAUCACAUGGUUCAUCUAUCCUCAGAAGGUCAAGAGCUGUCGUCCUCAUCAUGAUCCUUUUUGCUCCCAGCUCAGAAAUGCCUUUGGAUGAUUGGAACGUUUCAUCAUUGAAGCUUAUGGAGAGCGAAGACUGUAUAAACCUGAACCAGAUCUCCUGAUUUUGAAUUCUGAUAUCUGAUUUCACAGAAAGCAUACAUGGGUGCUUUGUCAUCUCUUCUAAUUUUGGGAUGCAUGGUCUUUCUAUUGACACUGCUGAAUGCUGAAUUCUGGACUUUGCCACAAAUGUACAGGUUAGUCUAGUGUGAUAAUUCAGAUCAGCAUCUGAUUAGACCAUUUAAUGAUAGCCAUGAAUUCUGACA